rnacentral:rRNA from 1 species
UGAUCCUACGGGGGGCAGCAGUGAGGAAUAUUGGUCAAUGGGCGGAAGCCUGAACCAGCCAAGUCGCGUGAGGGAAUAAGGCCCUACGGGUCGUAAACCUCUUUUGCCGGGGAGCAAGGGCGGGGACGUGUCCCGGCCCGGAGAGUACCCGGAGAAAAAGCAUCGGCUAACUCCGUGCCAGCAGCCGCGGUAAUACGGAGGAUGCGAGCGUUAUCCGGAUUUAUUGGGUUUAAAGGGUGCGUAGGCGGUUUGUCAAGUCAGCGGUAAAAAUUCCGGGCUCAACCCGGUCCCGCCGUUGAAACUGG